rnacentral:lncRNA from 1 species
CAAACCAAGGCUCAGAAUAAUCGGGAACUGGGAAAUCUCAGCCUCGAGAAGCCUGAAGUCAGGCGGGAAGAGUCCUACAGUGUCCUGUGCGUGCCAAACAAGACAUUGUCCUAGCUGGGUGUGGUGGUUCACAACUUGCUCAGCAGGUGAAAGUGCUGCCAUCUACUCUGCCAUCCACCCUGAUGAAGAAACCAUGGGGAAAUUAACAAGGGCAGCUGUGGCGCACACCCCUGUCACUUCUACACUCAGGAGCCUGAGGCAGGAUUGUGGGUUCCAGACCAGCCGGGCUGUAGAACAGUCCUGUGUCUAAAAGAAGAAGUCAUCGAGAACUGGAGAAUGCAUGCAAGCAGGCCUGGUGGCUUAAAUGAGGAGCAGCAUUUGUGGUCAGGCUGACUCCACAUGGUGGAAAGGGAGCUGAUGCCUGCCAGCUGUUCUCUGACUUCCACAGGCACGGAACAAAGGAGCCACCACACUCUGUGGGAAAGCUGUGGCAUAACCCUGGUAGGUCAGAGUCUGCCAGCUGGACACCACAAUCUCAUGGUGUCCCAGGCCAUGUGGAGGAACACUGAGGGGCGUCCUCAGUGGAGAUGGGCAGACAUUGGAGACCUUCCUGUACCCCAAAGUAGGCUUUGGAUCCCUGUUGUUACGCUGCCCCAACUUUUCCCAACGUUUUCUAGAAAGGGACUGGACUACAAGGCCGGAUCUUUGUUUUCUUGUUAUUGCCCCCCCCCACCCCCCAAGACAGGAUUUCACUUUGUAGCCCUGGCUGUCCUGGAACUCUCCCUGUAGACCAGGCUGUCCUCAAAACUCACAGAGAUCUGCUUGCCUCUGCUUCCUGAGUGCUGGGAUCGAAGGUGUGUUCCACCACUGCCCUCCCCCAUUUUUUUGUUUUUAGGGAUGAAAUUCUGAGCUGGAGAGAUGGACAGUGGUUAAGAGCAUUGACUGCUCUUCUAGAGGACCUGGGUUCAAUUCCCAGCACCCAUAUGGCCGGUCACAACUGUCUGCAACUCCAGGAUCUAACACCCUCACAGAGAUGUACAUGCAGGCAAAACAUCAGUAAGCCUAAAAUUAAAAAAUGAAUUAUUUAAUAAAGGAGUGAAAUUCACACAACACGAAUGAACCAUUUAAAGAUGCACAGUUUAGUGGCUUGGGUACAUCAUGUCUAACCACCCCUCUUCCUAGUUCCAGGACAGCUAGAGGGGACCAAGAAGAGAUGUUAAGGACCUUUCAAUUCACCAUUCAUUCAAUUGAAAGUCUCCUCCCUCCAGGCUGCAGAGAGAACAACUAAAUAUUUACCCCUGACAAACAUCAUUGGGGUGGAUGACCCAAAUCGCCCCGGUGACGAUUCUAGGCUGCAGUGUUUUCCUGCUGUCGGGAACUUCCAGAGAGAGGUCAGCCAGGUGACCUUCCAGUGGCCCAUCCUCAGUAGAGAUGCCAGAGAGACCUGUGAAAGGGCCUUUGACUCUAGUGUGCUGUUUCUUGCCUCCUUCUAGAAAAACUUAGCCACUGUUUCUUUGCUUUGCCAGCAGGAGUCUCUGUGAUUUCUGAUCGCUGCAUGCAGCGGCCUCUCAGCAGAAGUCUUACCUUGUUGUCGAUGUAGGGAGGGACCCUUCCAUCCUUGGCUGGGAUGAACUGGGGAGGCUGUGGUCUGGGAGUGAAAGGUGCACCUUGGGAAGACAGGACAUGGCUUGAUCUCUAGUGAUGAGUAGAUUUUCCUGGCUGUGAAGUUCUCUCACACACUAAGAUCUAAUAUGGAAACCUAAGGCUCACAUCGGGGGAGCCAGGCUCUGCGGAUAAAGGGAACUCGGGGUAUAUCUCUCUGGUUCUUCAUUUUAGUCUGGAGGAGGCUUGAUGGGAUACCCCAGCCCUGAGGGUACCAUCACAAACCCACAGACCCGGCUUCUGCUGUUUCCAGAGAAACAGCUCAGCUGUGGAGUGGAUGCUCUGUCAAUAGCUUCCAGGCCAUGAAAGCUCACCAAGACAUGUCCCCAGCCACUCACCAAUCUUCAGAAUUCUCCACCGGGAGACCCCAUGAAGUCCACGGUGUUUCUCACGAUUUCCUGGUCCGUAGACUCUGUCCGUGGCCACCACCCAUCUUUCUCUCACAACCCUUGCAUCUUGAUGGGGCCUGGCCAGGGUUAGAUUGCUUUUUUUCUGGAGGCAGGGUCUUGUGUUGCUGUGUCUGGUCUUGAAUGUAUUAUGUAGCCAAGGAUGACCUUGGACACUUUAAUCCUCCUGUUUUCACCUCCUGAUUGCUAGGAUUGCAGGUGUUUACCACCAUGUCUGAUUCAUGGGGGUCUGGGGAUCAAACCCAGGGCUUUGUGCAUGCGGCCUUCAUCUUGCUUCCUAACUGCUCUAUUCUGUAUGGGCUUCUAGAGCCCUGAAGACAGCCUGUCUGAAGAAACCAUCAGGCUGAUGUAUUACCCAGCACUCUUUAUCUCUACCUGCUCAGGAGGUCAGCAACAUCAGGAGGGCCAGAGCCUGGCUGGGAGGCUCGGAGUCCUUGGCUUUAAAAGAUUCCUUAAAUGUAUGGCUCAGCCGUGUCUG